rnacentral:tRNA from 1 species
UGACACAUAGUAUAAUGGUUAGUACUUAUUAUUACGAAUGAUGAAAUGAAAGUUCGAAUCUUUCUGUGUCUG